GCUGGCCCUAGGGUUGAAUGCCACCAGACCCAUUGUUGAGGGCAUCCCUGGGGGCAGCUCUUCCUUAGACCAGCAGCCGGGGUGCAGUAGCAGCAGCACCUUCAUAACUGUUUUACAUAACACUCCAUCACUUUUACCUGUUCCCAUGCAAGGGGUGACUGAAGCAUGCACAGACAGUGAAGCAACCCUGUCAGAUGACUGUGGUUUGGAGGAAGUCCCUGGUGACAUUCGUUUGCUCUUUAAGAGAAGUCUCCAGCAAAAAAUGGAGUACACUGAGCUGAAGAAACAAAAGCUCCUAGGUGAACU